rnacentral:rRNA from 1 species
GACGAACGCUGGCGGCGUGCCUAAUACAUGCAAGUCGAGCGGACUGAUUAAGAGCUUGCUCUUAUGACGUUAGCGGCGGACGGGUGAGUAACACGUGGGCAACCUGCCCUGUAGAUCGGGAUAACACCGAGAAAUCGGUGCUAAUACCGGGUAAUAUCUGAGAUCACAUGAUCUUAGGUUAAAAGAUGGCUCCGGCUAUCACUACAGGAUGGGCCCGCGGCGCAUUAGCUAGUUGGUAAGGUAAUGGCUUACCAAGGCGACGAUGCGUAGCCGACCUGAGAGGGUGAUCGGACACACUGGGACUGAGACACGGCCCAGACUCCUACGGGAGGCAGCAGUAGGGAAUCUUCCGCAAUGGACGAAAGUCUGACGGAGCAACGCCGCGUGAGUGAUGAAGGGGUUCGGCUCGUAAAGCUCUGUUGUUAGGGAAGAAACAGUACCGAACGAACUAGGUCGGUACCUUGACGGUACCUAAACAGAAAGCCACGGCUAACUACGUG